rnacentral:rRNA from 1 species
GACGAACGCUGGCGGCGUGCCUAAUACAUGCAAGUAGAACGCUGAAGGAGGAGCUUGCUUCUCUGGAUGAGUUGCGAACGGGUGAGUAACGCGUAGGUAACCUGCCUGGUAGCGGGGGAUAACUAUUGGAAACGAUAGCUAAUACCGCAUAAGAGUAGAUGUUGCAUGACAUUUGCUUAAAAGGUGCAAUUGCAUCACUACCAGAUGGACCUGCGUUGUAUUAGCUAGUUGGUGGGGUAACGGCUCACCAAGGCGACGAUACAUAGCCGACCUGAGAGGGUGAUCGGCCACAAUGGGACUGAGACACGGCCCAGACUCCUACGGGAGGCAGCAGUAGGGAAUCUUCGGCAAUGGACGGAAGUCUGACCGAGCAACGCCGCGUGAGUGAAGAAGGUUUUCGGAUCGUAAAGCUCUGUUGUAAGAGAAGAACGAGUGUGAGAGUGGAAAGUUCACACUGUGACGGUAUCUUACCAGAAAGGGACGGCUAACUACGUG